rnacentral:rRNA from 1 species
ACUCAAAUGAAUAGACGGGGAUCCGCACAAGCGGUGGAGCGCCUGCUUUAAUUCGAUGAUCAGCGAAGAACCUUACCGAGGUUUGACAUGCAACUGCAAAUCCCAUGAAAGUGGGACCCCUUCGAGGGUGUUGCACAGGUAUUGCAUGGCUGUUGUCAGCUCGUGUCGUGAGAUGUACCGUUAAGUCGGGUAACGAGCGCAACCCUUAUCGUUAGUUGUAUCACUCUAGCGAAACUGCCCUGGCAACAGGGAGGAAGGAGAGGAAGACAACAAGUCAGCAUGGUCCUUAUGCCUCGGGCAAGACAGGCGCUACAAUGGCCAGUACAAUGGGCAGCCACAUAGUAAUAUGGAGCUAAUCUCAUAAAGCUGGUCUCAGUUCAGAUUGAGGGCUGAAACUCGCCCUCAUGAAGUUGGAAUCGCUAGUAAUCGUAGGUCAGCUAUACUACGGUGAAUACGUUCUCGGAUCUUGUACACACCGCCCGU